CCUACGGGUGGCAGCAGUGGGGAAUAUUGGACAAUGGGGGCAACCCUGAUCCAGCCAUGCCGCGUGUGUGAAGAAGGCCCUCGGGUUGUAAAGCACUUUCAGUGAGGAAGAACGCCUGGUGGUUAAUACCCAUCAGGGAAGACAUCACUCACAGAAGAAGCACCGGCUAACUCCGUGCCAGCAGCCGCGGUAAUACGGAGGGUGCGAGCGUUAAUCGGAAUUACUGGGCGUAAAGCGCGCGUAGGUGGCUUGAUAAGCCGGUUGUGAAAGCCCCGGGCUCAACCUGGGAACGGCAUCCGGAACUGUCAAGCUAGAGUGCAGGAGAGGAAGGUAGAAUUCCCGGUGUAGCGGUGAAAUGCGUAGAGAUCGGGAGGAAUACCAGUGGCGAAGGCGGCCUUCUGGACUGACACUGACACUGAGGUGCGAAAGCGUGGGUAGCAAACAGGAUUAGAUACCCCAGUAGUC
rnacentral:rRNA from 1 species